UGAAAAUGUAAGCAGGUGGCUGAAGGAGUUGAGGGACCACGCUGACUCCAACAUUGUCAUCAUGCUAAUUGGAAACAAGACUGAUUUGAAGCAUCUCCGAGCAGUUGCCACAGAGGAUGCACAGGGUUUUGCUGAGAAAGAAGGGCUUUCAUUCAUCGAAACUUCAGCCCUCGAAGCAACCAAUGUUGAGAAGGCCUUCCAGACAAUUCUUGGAGAGAUAUACAGGAUAAUAAGCAAGAAGACCCUUUCUUCUGAUGACCCUGCACCUGCUGGCAUCAAAGAAGGAAAGACCCUUGUAGUCGACGGAUCCGACACCAACACAAAGAAGACUUGCUGCUCUUCAUUCUAAAAAGGUGAUCUUAGUUUACCCUUAUUUUCUUAUCCUCC
rnacentral:lncRNA from 1 species